rnacentral:rRNA from 1 species
CCCAGACUCCUACGGGAGGCAGCAGUGGGGAAUAUUGCACAAUGGGGGAAACCCUGAUGCAGCGACGCCGCGUGAGCGAUGAAGUAUUUCGGUAUGUAAAGCUCUAUCAGCAGGGAAGAAAAUGACGGUACCUGACUAAGAAGCCCCGGCUAACUACGUGCCAGCAGCCGCGGUAAUACGUAGGGGGCAAGCGUUAUCCGGAUUUACUGGGUGUAAAGGGAGCGUAGACGGCGACGCAAGUCUGGAGUGAAAGCCCGGGGCCCAACCCCGGGACUGCUCUGGAAACUGCGUCGCUGGAGUACGGGAGGGGCAGGCGGAAUUCCUGGUGUAGCGGUGAAAUGCGUAGAUAUCAGGAGGAACACCGGCGGCGAAGGCGGCCUGCUGGACCGUGACUGACGUUGAGGCUCGAGAGCGUGGGGAGCAAACAGGAUUAGAUCCCCUUGUA